rnacentral:rRNA from 1 species
UACGAAGGGGGCUAGCGUUGCUCGGAAUCACUGGGCGUAAAGGGUGCGUAGGCGGGUCUUUAAGUCAGGGGUGAAAUCCUGGAGCUCAACUCCAGAGCUGCCUUUGAUACUGAAGAUCUUGAGUUCGGGAGAGGUGAGUGGAACUGCGAGUGUAGAGGUGAAAUUCGUAGAUAUCUGGAGGAAUACCGGUGGCGAAGGCGGCAUCCUGGACCAUUACUGACGCUGAGGCGCGAAAGCUAGGGGGAGCAAACGGG